AGCUUCAGAAACUAGGCUUCAAAUUUUCCAUCCUAUUUUCAGAACUUAAAUCUGCCAUUUGUUUAAAGUAAUCUGAAGAUCUGAAAGUAUAUGGAAUCACAAUGCAGGAAGAGCUGUGAGAGUUGAUUCUAUUUGAAUGCAAGAAUGUGACAAGAAACAUCCAGCUGGGUUUGCACUUUUCAGCCUCAGCCACAAAAGGAUGGCUAUCCUGGAGUGUCAGAAAGGAGAAAGGCUGAGGAGAUGAAAUACUCUGCUCUGUUUGUGCCCUUCAGUACUAUCUCCUGUCUCCCCAGUGACAGACUCAGUAAACUUCCUGACAAUCUAAAUCCUUGCUUUGGGAAACAUAAGCCUAGGACCAUGGUGAACCAGCAACACCUUCUGAGACCAGCUUUUGGAGACUCUUACAGAAAUUUUGAUGCUGAGGUUUGCAGGGUGAAGAUUUUUUAAAGCAUUGUCUGUAUGUCCUGAGUCAUGGCACCGGCUGUCUGCAAAGCAUGGAAAAAUCUUGGUAAGGCAAGCACAGAGGGCAAAGCACAUUUGCUUCUGCCUCAACUACUGCAGAAUACAGACACAUCUGUGAUGCUGAGUCCAUGGGCUCUGUGUGUUAUAACUGAAUAUAUUUAAAUGUAGCCUUUGGCCUUGGGAAUGGAUUCUUUGAGCCCUGUGUUUCAGUCCUCCUUGGUCAUAUACAGUGCUAAGCAUAAUUUCAUCCAUAGUAUUUCAUCUGGAAACAAAUGAAG
rnacentral:lncRNA from 1 species